rnacentral:rRNA from 1 species
UAGGGAAUAUUAGUAAUGGGCGAAAGCCUGAACUAGCAACGCCGCGUGUGCGAAGAAGGCCUUCGGGUCGUAAAGCACUUUUUGAGAGGAUGAGGAAGGACGGUACUCUCAGAAUAAGUCUCGGCUAACUACGUGCCAGCAGCCGCGGUAACACGUAGGAGGCAAACGUUAUCCGGAUUUACUGGGCGUAAAGCGCGUGUAGGUGGUUUGGUAAGUAGGGCGUGAAAGCUCCUGGCUCAACUGGGAGAGGACGUUCUAAACUGCUAAGCUUGAGGAUGGUAGAGGGAGGUGGAAUUCCGGGUGUAGCGGUGGAAUGCGCAGAUAUCCGGAGGAACACCAGUGGCGAAGGCGACCUCCUGGGCCACUCCUGACACUCAGACGCGAAAGCUAGGGUAGCAAACGG